ACACAGAUAUACAGAUUUCUACGUACCCGGAAUCUAAUAGCACCAAUAUUUUUGCACAGAACUCUCACUUACAUGUCCCACAGAAACUCCCGAACAAAUAUCAAAAGGAAAACAUUCAAAGUAGAUGACAUGUUAUCAAAAGUAGAGAAAAUGAAGGGAGAACAAGAAUCUCACAGCUUGUCUGCUCAUUUGCAACUUACGUUUACUGGGUUCUUCCAUAAAAAUGAUAAGCCAUCACAAAACUCAGAGAAUGAACAAAAUUCUGUAACCCUGGAAGUACUGCUUGUGAAAGUUUGCCACAAGAAACGAAAGGAUGUCAGUUGUCCGAUAAGACAGGUUCCUACAGGUAAAAAGCAGGUGCCUUUAAACCCAGACCUCAGCCAAAUAAAACCAGGCAACUUCCCAUCGCUUGCAGUUUCCAGCAAUGAGUUUGAACCAAGCAACAGCCAUAUGGUGAAGUCUUACUCAUUGUUAUUCAGAGUAACUCGCCCAGGAAGAAGAGAGUUUAAUGGACUGAUCAAUGGUGAAACUAAUGAAAACAUUGAUGUCAAUGAGGAGCUUCCAGCUAGAAGAAAAAGAAACUCUUCAAAUCGUGAAGAUGGGGAAAAGACAUUUGUAGCACAAAUGACGGUAUUUGAUAAAAACAGGCGCUUGCAACUUCUGGAUGGGGAAUACGAAGUGGCCAUGCAGGAAAUGGAAGAGUGUCCAAUUAGCAAGAAAAGAGCAACAUGGGAAACAAUACUUGAUGGGAAGAGACUGCCUCCAUUUGAAACAUUUUCUCAGGGACCUACACUUCAGUUUACUCUUCGUUGGACAGGAGACACAAAUGAUAAGUCUACAGCUCCUAUAGCUAAGCCUCUUGCAACACGAAAUUCUGAAAGCCUUCCUCAAGAAAACAAGCCCAAUUCUGUUAAACCUACUCAGACUAUAGCUGUGAAAGAAUCGUUGCCGACAGACCUUCAAACAAGAAAAGAGAGAGACGUUUUAAAUGAACCCCGACAAAAGUUGCGAAUAUUUUACCAGUUCCUUUAUAACAACAACACAAGACAGCAGACUGAAGCCCGAGAUGACUUGCAUUGCCCAUGGUGCACGCUGAACUGUCGGAAACUGUAUAGUUUACUCAAACAUCUUAAACUUUGCCACAGCAGAUUUAUAUUUAAUUAUGUUUAUCAUCCAAAAGGUGCUAGGAUAGACGUAUCUAUCAAUGAGUGCUAUGAUGGCUCCUAUGCAGGAAAUCCCCAGGAUAUCCAUCGUCAACCUGGAUUUGCCUUUAGUCGCAAUGGACCGGUCAAAAGAACUCCUAUCACACACAUACUUGUUUGCAGGCCAAAGCGUACGAAAGCAAGUAUGUCAGAAUUUCUUGAAUCUGAAGAUGGAGAAGUAGAACAGCAACGAACAUACAGCAGCGGGCACAAUCGGUUAUAUUUCCACAGUGACACAUGUUUACCUCUCCGUCCACAAGAAAUGGAAGUAGACAGUGAGGAUGAAAAGGACCCCGAAUGGCUACGAGAGAAAACCAUUACUCAAAUUGAAGAAUUUUCUGAUGUUAACGAAGGAGAGAAAGAAGUGAUGAAAUUGUGGAAUCUUCAUGUUAUGAAGCACGGGUUUAUUGCUGACAAUCAAAUGAAUCAUGCCUGUAUGCUGUUUGUUGAAAAUUACGGACAAAAAAUAAUUAAGAAGAACUUGUGUCGAAACUUUAUGCUACAUCUGGUCAGCAUGCAUGACUUUAACCUCAUCAGCAUAAUGUCAAUAGACAAAGCUGUUGCCAGGCUCCGAGAGAUGCAGCAGAAGUUAGAGAAAGGAGAAUCAGCCUCCCCCACAGAUGAGGAAUCUUCUGAGGAACAAAGUGGGACAACAAAUGGAUAUAGUGAAAAUAAUAUGAGAGAGAGAAUUUCAGAAAUGGAUAGCAUCUCAGGUGUCACAAAACAGAGCAAGAAACAAAAGCUCUGAAGUCAAAAGUCAAAUGCCAUUCAACGGACAAGCAUUGAAGUGACAUUCUAGGGUGCAUGAGCUCUAAAGAAUUACACACAAAAAUACAGAGAUUCCAAACAGGCACUGCUGGAUGGAAAUAAAUGAUUUCAACAAGGAUAUUGUUUUAACAGGGUUUCUAUUCAGUUAAUUAUGCAAGUACUACAUGUAUAUCGGUUUUGGUGAUGUAAUGACAAUAUUCUAAGAGUUUGAGCAUGAAGAGCAAUAUGAAAAUCUUUUUGUAAUUUUAGUAAUUAGUGUCUUAAGAACUUUAUGGAAUUUACAUAAUUUAAGUAUAUGUAAAACCGUUUUAUAUUAAGAUUUUUGCAUCUGUAUCUGGCUGUUUUUCCUGCCAUGAAGUUGUGAAACAUUGGGGAAAGGGGAUUGGGAUACAGUUUCUGCUUUUCUUAUUUAGAAAUUCUCCAGUUUAGCUUUUUGUGAAAAUAACGUCUCACUAUUUAAAGUUUAACCUUGAUCCUUGUAUUUGAAAUCAUUUAUCAAUUGAUCAUAAAUUACAAAUUCAUUUUUUGACAUGAAAAUUAUCAAAGUUGGCAAACUUAGCACUUCCUUUGUCUUGUGCCUGUUUGGAAAGAUCUUGGCUUUUCAUGUUACAGACACAGUCAAGUACCACCUUGGCUUUUUGAGGUUACCAGCAGUUUGGUUUUCGUGGAUAAUUCUGAUGUAUUGAUCACCCAGUGUACCAUUUUAAACUUGAACAUUAGCUCCUUUAUAUUUUUAUUACACAUUUACACAGCUACACAAACUAUUUGAUGUAAACCCUUUUUACUGGGGUUCCACAUCAUAGUGUGCCAUGCUAAAGCCGAGAGUCUAUAGUCAGUAUGUAGGCAUUACGUCGAUUAACUUCUUUGGAAGUUUAUGCCUGCUGUUUUGCCUGAGUACAGACUGCAAGUCCAGGCCAUAGGUUUAGCUUUGGCUUUCGAGAUGCCACUCUUGAGGGAAAAAUGCACUGUAAAAUUGGACCAGAAAAUGUGUUGCACUUCUUAUGCAAGUAUUCUGUGAUGUAUUGUAUUCAAUACAGAUACUAAGAUACUGACUAAACUAUAUUUGAGCAGUUUUGCACUGCUGUUAACACAUUUUAUGCAUACGUUUACAGAUUUUUUCCAAUGGAAAGUGGUUUCACUACUGGUACAGUAUCAGCACCGAAGGGUUUAUUCCAGCAAGCACUGUGGUUGAGUGACAUCACCUCAAUUUUUUUAUUAUCCUUAAAAUAUUGCAUUUUUCAUAUUCUUUAUUUAUAAAGGAACAAUGCUGCUGUAAAUACAGGUAUUUUUAAUUUUUUAUUUCAUUCCAUCACCAUGAGAUGCAGUUCCCUGUUUGUUUAAGGGGUAUAUAAGCUUUCUAAUGGUGUCUUCAGAAAUUUAUAAAAUGUAAAUACUGAUUUUGAUGGUCCUUAAGAUGUGUUUAACUGUGAGACUAUUUAACUAAUGGUGUGGAUGUGAUUUGUCAUCCAGUAUUAAGUUCUUAGUCACUGAUUUUGUGUACAAAAUAGGAAAGAGGGAAACUGCAGCUUUCAUUACAAACUUCUUGAAUUUGCCAGCUCUCUUGAGUUUUAGCAAACUCUAAUUAUGCCUCUGGAUAGUACAUCAAGCAUUUCUCUCUGGCUUUAAUUUGCUAAAGCUGUGCACAUAUGUAAAAAAAUAGAUUAUUUUAGGGGAGAUGUAGUUCUAGAAUUAUUGCUUAUGUCAUUUCUUAAGCAGUUAUGCUCUUAAUGCUUAAAAGAAGGCUAGCAUUGUUUGCACAAAAAGUUGGUGAUCCCCCCAAAAAUAGUAAUGAAAUUACUUCUGUCCAGUAAACUUUGUAUGUCAUGUCAAUUUAUAAUAAAAGCUGAAAAAAUCCCUUUGUUUUCUAUUUAUAAAGAUGCCUUUUCUAUAUGUACCUUUGAUAGAUUUUGAAGAUAUCAUGUAAGCUGGUUAAAAAGAAUUUGAAUGGUACAGUAGAUGUAAAAACAAAACAAAACCCCAAACAAACAAAAACCAGAACAAGUUCAGUUGUUUAAAUGAACCAUUGUUUUUACAUUAAAAUGUUUUAUUUGAAAUCUGCUUUUGUACAUAAAGUUCAGUAAUACAAAAUCUGCCAUGAUGGUUGUCCAGUCAUUUUGUGUGCAUGCAGGAAGGCCACAAGCGGUACCUUGUACAAACUUUCUCUUCUGCAUGUCUUGUAGAAUUCAGAUACGUGUUCUUCCUUUGCCAGGUUAGGUAGCUAAGUUUCUCUCCAGCUUUUUUGUUAUAUUUAAGGUGUCUCCAUAAAUUACCAGAGUUUUAGCUAGAUUAUAUAAAUUUUCAUUCUUUCUAGGGAGUAGAACUGAAUACUUGAGAUAUAUGUGUAAGUUGUGUAUUACUGCUUAGAACUGUAAUUUAUAUAACUGAAAAUGAAACAUCACUUGUGUCAGUUGUAAAACUUGUUAAAAGACUUGAGAGUUUUACAUGCAAGUGCUUAAAUGUUUCAAACAGAUUUUACAAGGUACUUGGUUUAUUUGGAGCAAAGUUUAAAUGGGUAUCAGUUUAAAAUGGCGCUUCUGUGGGACUGUAGAGGAUGGGUACUCCAGGUACUACAGAACAAAAUGACUAAGGAAUUGCACUGCUUGGCCGAAUAAUGACUGUCAAAUAGCAGACACUGGAAACCUUUUUCCAUGUUAAAAAGUAACUCAGAUACUGAAAUACAGGAUAUGACAGCUAGAUUCUGUAAAUUUGACUUCAGACUGCAGUUGUCCAGUAUGCUUUUGUCUCUAAAAUUGGCAAGGUUCUUCUAAUCUAGCUUUUAAUAUGUUCAUGGCAGAUUUUUAUGAUGUUUUGUAUUCAGUGAACCCCAGGUUGGAACCUACCAUAUGACUUGAAUAUUUAAUUCAGUGCAUUAAAUACUAUAUUCAAAAUUGUUAGAUGCAUUUAAGUUGUUAACCUUAAGUGUAUGUUGCUUUGAGUGUCUUGAAUGUAGUCCUUGAAUUUUUGGGGAGUGGGGUAAAGAGUCACUGCCUGGAAUGAAGUGGUUGCAAAUACUUUCAGCUGUUCUCAUUACUUCGCUAAUCACCAAAACAAAGCCCCCAAACCAGCCAUUUGAUUUUUACCUUUGAGAAUGCAGGAGCCAUUCUGUGAGGACAAUUUUGCAAUAUUGCUCAAAGCUAAGUAUUUCUUAAUUCACAGAACAGUUUGGUGCCAUCAUCAACCAGUGCUCGAAUGAAGGUGUUCCUGUUGGACCAGAUCCUGGUUAUAAAUCUGAUACUGCGUGGUUUCACAACUGAGAAAAUGAGCUUUGAAUGGAGUAGGCAAACAGAAAUGGAAAGCAGCCCUGCCACAUUCCUUUUUGUCACAUUAAAUAGGUUGCAGUAACUGCAAUCAGGAAAAGGAGAUUCAUGAUCUCACCAAAGAUUUUAACUGCACAAGCAGUAUGUACCUAAAAGGUGGAUUAAGUCACUCAUACAUG